rnacentral:lncRNA from 1 species
UUUUGAAAUUGGGACUUGAGCCCUCUGAUUUUGUUCUUUUUUUUUUCAAGAUUAUUUUAGCUAUCCAGAGCCCCCUUGGAAUUCCAUAUAAAUGUGAGGAUCAGUUUUUCUAUUUUUGCAAAACAGUUUGUUGCAAUUUUGACAGGGACUGCUUGGAAUCUGUAGAUCACUUUGGGUACAACUCUGUUUUUUUUUUUUUUUCCUGGACUAUUAGAAUUAUUGGGAAGGCUUCUUACCUGGUUCCAGAGGUGCUAACCUUGAAUCUCCUUAGCCAGGAGGCUUAAUAACUUCUCAACACUCUGUACAUGCCUGGAGACCACACUUUAGAACCCACUGUCUUAGUGGGUUGAUGAAUCAGCAUCCAAUUGAGGAACUGAAAUUGGACCAGCUGGGUGUUUAGAGGCUCAGUUGGAAAGCAGACACUGAACUAGCUCUUAGAUUUCCAGGGGAAAAACCAAGUUUCAAAAAAAGCAUCCCAUCAAUGAUUCAAUCAAAGAAAUGUCAUUAAUGAGAAGAGAGAAAAAAAAGUCCUCCAACAUUGUAUUUGGGUAGAUUUCAACAGUUAAUUUGUAUUUCAAAAUGUGAAUGUAAAUUAAAAGGCUAAAUACUUGAAAGUCAAAAGUAUUCCUUAUUUGACAUUAAAGUCAGCGAAUUGAUCAUAUUUGCUGAAUGUAGUUAGUAAAAAGUGCUAAUUUAUGGCUAAGUAAUUAAACAGGGAGACAGAUGGAGAAUCAAAUGAGUUUUCUUCACAUUCAAAUUUGCAUACUGUUUCUGAUGGUGCAUACGCUUAUUGCUCUGUGUGGUGCCCUCCAGUAUUAGAAGAACAUAGAGAGCUAUUUAUGUCAGCUUUGCUCAAGCAACCCCAAAGAAAGAAAAGGGGAAUUAUAUCAAGUCCUAGACUUAGAUAAAAUACAGAGCUCAGUUAGAUGUUCUCUUCUGUUUCUCGCUCAUUCAUCAUUUUUGCUUCCAUGUCAUAGUGGGUAGAAUAGGCAACUGUCAAAUAGUGGAAUUUUCUCCUUUCUCCAUUGUAUCAUGGAAAACGCCAUGGCGUGGGAAUCAGAAGAUGGUCUAAUUUUAGCUUUCUCAGUAACUAGUUGUGUGACAUUGGACAAUUCUGUUCUCUCCAGUCUUAGUUGCCUCAUUUGACAUUUGAGUUUAAUGUUGCCUAGGUUAUUUCUAAGCAGUAUGGCACAGUGGAGAAAGCAAGGACUCUAAUUUUGAUCUUGGAUCAGCCACCUACCAGCUGAGUGAUCUUGGAUAACUUAGUUUAACCACUGUGUGCUACAGGUUCUUAUUAGCAAAAUGAGGAUGUUUGGUGAUCAUUUUAUGCAAAGCCCUU